GAAAUGCGAUACUUGGUGUGAAUUGCUCUCUAAAAGACCCUAAUGUGUUGUCUUACGACGAUGCUUCGACCGCGACCCCAGGUCAGGCGGGACUACCCGCUGAGUUUAA
rnacentral:misc_RNA from 1 species